rnacentral:rRNA from 1 species
GACGAACGCUGGCGGCGUGCCUAAUACAUGCAAGUUGAGCGAUGAAGAUUGGUGCUUGCCCCAAUUUGAAGAGCAGCGAACGGGUGAGUAACGCGUGGGGAAUCUGCCUUUGAGCGGGGGACAACAUUUGGAAACGAAUGCUAAUACCGCAUAACAACUUUAAACAUAAGUUUUAAGUUUGAAAGAUGCAAUUGCAUCACUCAAAGAUGAUCCCGCGUUGUAUUAGCUAGUUGGUGAGGUAAAGGCUCACCAAGGCGAUGAUACAUAGCCGACCUGAGAGGGUGAUCGGCCACAUUGGGACUGAGACACGGCCCAAACUCCUACGGGAGGCAGCAGUAGGGAAUCUUCGGCAAUGGACGAAAGUCUGACCGAGCAACGCCGCGGGAGGGAAGAAGGGUUUCGGAUCGUAAAACUCUGUUGGUAGAGAAGAACGUUGGUGAGAGUGGAAAGCUCAUCAAGUGACGGUAACUACCCAGAAAGGGACGGCUAACUACGUG